UGGGGAAUAUUGCGCAAUGGGGGGAACCCUGACGCAGCCAUGCCGCGUGAAUGAAGAAGGCCUUAGGGUUGUAAAGUUCUUUCGGUAUUGAGGAAGGUUGAUGUGUUAAUAGCACAUCAAAUUGACGUUAAAUACAGAAGAAGCACCGGCUAACUCCGUGCCAGCAGCCGCGGUAAUACGGAGGGUGCGAGCGUUAAUCGGAAUAACUGGGCGUAAAGGGCACGCAGGCGGUUAUUUAAGUGAGGUGUGAAAGCCCCGGGCUUAACCUGGGAAUUGCAUUUCAGACUGGGCAACUAGAGUACUUUAGGGAGGGGUAGAAUUCCACGUGUAGCGGUGAAAUGCGUAGAGAUGUGGAGGAAUACCGAAGGCGAAGGCAGCCCCUUGGGAAUGUACUGACGCUCAUGUGCGAAAGCGUGGGGAGCAAACAGGAUUAGAUACCCUGGUAGUCCACGCUGUAAACGCUGUCGAUUUGGGGGUUGGGGUUUAACUCUGGCGCCCGUAGCUAACGUGAUAAAUCGACCGCCUGGGGAGUACGGCCGCAAGGUUA
rnacentral:rRNA from 1 species